AUGUCUGAAAUUGGGGAGGUUAUCAUCGAAAAAGGUAAUAGUAACAAUGGGGGAAACCUUGAUGGUUUUGAUAAUCCACAUGAAGAAUCUACUAUUCUACACACUAAAAAGUUUCGGAUUGGUAGUGGUAAUAUUAUUGGAAAAGGAGUUAUUCAAGAUUUCUUUACUUGUGCCUGUGGUUUGCCCACUAUGGGAGGGUCUAUUCUUCGUAGAACUUGUAGUCUUGCGGAUGCUAUAUCUUUGCUCAUAGUUGAACUUGAAAGACAAUUUAUGCAUAUGCAUCCUUGCAUACAAAGGAUCUUCCUAGAAUUUUCUAAUAUUGAGCAUUCUUCUAUUAGGCGUGCAGCUACUAUCUUUUUAGCACAUGAGUUCAGAUUUAUAAUGAAAGAGGACUGA
rnacentral:rRNA from 1 species